rnacentral:miRNA from 1 species
GAUGGUGAAACAAUGUUAUCUCAGAAUUGUAUUUUUGUUUUUAUAUUUUGAGAUAACAUUGUUUCACCAUCAGAACAAAAGUU